rnacentral:rRNA from 1 species
CAGGCCUAACACAUGCAAGUCGAACGGUAGCACAGAGAGCUUGCUCUCGGGUGACGAGUGGCGGACGGGUGAGUAAUGUCUGGGAAACUGCCCGAUGGAGGGGGAUAACUACUGGAAACGGUAGCUAAUACCGCAUAACGUCUUCGGACCAAAGUGGGGGACCUUCGGGCCUCACACCAUCGGAUGUGCCCAGAUGGGAUUAGCUAGUAGGUGGGGUAAUGGCUCACCUAGGCGACGAUCCCUAGCUGGUCUGAGAGGAUGACCAGCCACACUGGAACUGAGACACGGUCCAGACUCCUACGGGAGGCAGCAGUGGGGAAUAUUGCACAAUGGGCGCAAGCCUGAUGCAGCCAUGCCGCGUGUAUGAAGAAGGCCUUCGGGUUGUAAAGUACUUUCAGCGGGGAGGAAGGCGAUGUGGUUAAUAACCGCAUCGAUUGACGUUACCCGCAGAAGAAGCAUCGGCUAACUCCGUGCCAGCAGCCGCGGUAAU